UACAGAGGUCUCAAGCGUUGUUCGGAUUCAUUGGGCGUAAAGGGUGUGUAGGUGGCGCCGUAAGUCGGGGUGUGAAAUUUCGGAGCUUAACUCCGAAACUGCAUUCGAUACUGCGGUGCUUGAGGACUGGAGAGGAGACUGGGAAUUCAUGGUGUAGCAGUGAAAUGCGUAGAGAUCAUGAGGAAGACCAGUGGCGAAGGCGGGUCUCUGGACAGUUCCUGACACUGAGACACGAAGGCCAGGGAGCAAACGGG
rnacentral:rRNA from 1 species